UACAGAGGUCUCAAGCGUUGUUCGGAUUCAUUGGGCGUAAAGGGUGCGUAGGCGGCGCGGUAAGUCGGGUGUGAAAUCUCGGAGCUUAACUCCGAAACUGCAUUCGAUACUGCCGUGCUUGAGGACUGGAGAGGAGACUGGAAUUUACGGUGUAGCGGUGAAAUGCGUAGAUAUCGUAAGGAAGACCAGUGGCGAAGGCGGACUACCUGGCCGUGUUCGUUGACGCUGAGGCGCGAAAGACUAGGGGGAGCAAACGGG
rnacentral:rRNA from 1 species